rnacentral:rRNA from 1 species
GACGUAGGGGCGAGCGUUGUCCGGAAUUACUGGGCGUAAAGAGCACGUAGGCGGGAACUUAAGUCAGGUGUGAAAGACCGUGGCUCAACCACGGGUAUGCAUUUGAAACUGGGUUUCUUGAGGGCAGGAGAGGAAAGCAGAAUUCCUGGUGUAGCGGUGAAAUGCGUAGAAAUCAGGAGGAAUACCAGUGGCGAAGGCGGCUUUCUGGACUGACCCUGACGCUGAGGUGCGAAAGCGUGGGUAGCAAACAGGAUUAGAUACCCUGGUAGUCCCUGA